UUUAGAUUAAAAAGUGAUUUAAUCUUUCUUUUAGACACAAACAAUGUAAGGCUCAGAACCGAUUUCACACUUUAAUCAAAAUAUACAGAUUUCAUCAGAUAGAAAACUGACAAUCGCCUUUUAGACACUGAACUGUGGUAUAAAACGUGUAUGUACAGCUGAAUGCCCCUCCCUCCUGUUACUGACUGGUCCCAUUCCCACCUCACCUGACCAGGUUUUGUGAUGCAUUCCAGUCACCUGUGGGAUCUGUCCCAAUGGAAAGGCUGCAGUUAUAGAUUAAAGGGAACUGUGUCCUAAUAUGUCUCCCAGCCUCCAUGUAGUGAUGAACAGCAUGCAGCACGUCUAUCAGUUUGACAGGUGAAGGUCCCUGACACUGUGGUAACCGCAGUCAGGUUCAGCUCAGACUUGCACCUCACAUAAUCAGAAAGGUUUGAGCUUUACAUUGUGUGAACUGCAAUGAGCUGGUUUAUCACAACCCUGAACUGCACAUCACAGUCUGAUAGUGGAAGAAAAUGGACAGUUUAAGUUGAUCAAUCGCCAAUACAAACACCCUCGUGUUCAGUGAACAUGUGUCUUCAAUAUCUGAGUUGGGUUUUUUGGGAUUUUUUUUUUUUAACACGUGUGUUUAGGAGCUCAGACUUCUCUUGCCAACAAUACGAACUUGAGUAUUUUAAUUCCGCAGUAAGAAUUAAAGCCAAUUGAAAAGUUAAAUGAAAGAAGAUGGUAAAAAGUGUCAGUACAUGAGGGUUUGGUUGUUAUCGUUGACAUGUCUCAGAGUCCUGAUGGACACAUGUGCCCACCUGUUACGUAUAGCUGUGAAUUUUAGAAACCGUCUCAAAUUCCUCGCACAUCCAUACAAACUCCGUAAUCACAACGUGCAGGGACCUCGUAAGAUGUACCUUUAGCCCCUUUUCCAUUUGAUUGACUUGCCAGGUUUUCCAUUAGGUGAUAGCUCCUAAUGCCAGGUACUAAAAUAGUACCUACUUGGCAGGGAUUCAAAGGGAUCCAAACAGGUACUAAAUGUUAUUUCAGACUGCAUGCCACCGACUGGCUGGUCAGUGCUGUCAUUUCAUUUGAUGAGUCAUGAGACCGUCUCAUUCACAAAAAUCUAAACCGCCACUUUUGAAACCCAGCAACGAGUGACAUAGCUACAAAAAAAAACCAAAAAAAAAAAAACCAACAUGUCGUGGUUCUGAGUCUGACAAAAGGCCACAGACUGACCAGCAGGUAUACUGUUGCCUCAACUGCCACCUUUGUUGCAGCGUUUGUGUCGCAUACUAAUUACGUCACAGGGCCUUGGGAGGGGUUGCUAUAACAACGAUGACGCACAUUAGGUAAUACUCGAUUGUAAUGGAAAACCAGUCGAUCCGAGUCGGGUUGUGGCGAGUCAAUCCGAGUAGGUACUAAUGGAGAAGGGGCUUUUGUCAUGUUCAAAUUCAGGUGCAACGCGGCUAGUUUAUUUGUUUGACUCUGAAAUGACCCGCCCACCUGGACCUUUGGUCUGGGUAUGUAGGGAGGGAGUAAACAGGGACACAAUCACCAUUUUCUCCUCACCU
ensembl:lncRNA